CUUAGUUCUGAAUUGCUGCAUUUUACUGUUUUCUAACUUACUGUGAUCAAUCAUAAGUUCAUAACUGAGAAAUGACCACUUUCCUGUGUUCUGAUUUGGCUCUGCGCCAUUGUACUGAUAUAGUGAUAUCGUUACAUGCUCACUUUCUCCAGCUCCACUGAUGUCCACCAUGGAAUGAAAUUGAAAACGUAUCUGGCAACCCCAGGUACGUAUUAGGUUUUGAGCACCAGCUAGGAAGAAAAUACAAAGUACCUAGCUGCUUGAGGCAGGAGGAGUGACUAGCACUGACCAGGAGGAGCAAGAAGCAGCGACAGCUACCAUUGCUGGCUGAGCUGGCUGCUAGGUUGCCUCUCUCUUUCCCUCAUAUUCAUAUAUGUGGGUUUGCAACAGCCUAAAACUCAGGGGAGAAGGGGCCUCACGCUGAUGGUAUAUAAGCUUGGCAUAGGUGUGGACUUCAAUGUCAGGUUUUGUGAAGAAGCAUUGCAAGACUCCAUCAGAAAAUGGACCCCUGGUAGACUGCAUCCGCAUCGGCGCACGGGCGAUGCCGACAUUGCACAGCGGCAGAGUGUGCAGAGUCCGCGCUUCUGACGGACCUUCACCACCAACUACCGUGCUCUCUGCCAGCCUUCUCGCUCCUGCCCAUCUCUAUGCCACAGCCCACAGGCUGGCCCAACCUCUGCUGCCUUCCUUUUCUGCCUCAGCUCCCCUAAACUAUAUGCACCGGCGUGACCUGCUUUUGUGAGACAGGAACUUGGGCGUGGUUCAGUCUUUUUUGGGGGGCUCAGUUCAAUCUGUGGUGUGGUUCGGUUCAAUGAAAGAACGAAGAUGUCUUAUGACCCGCUCCUGCGUGAGAUAGAAAAUUGGGCUCGCAGUCUGGGCUUGCAGAGUUGCAGUUCAGUUAUGGUGUGAUUAAGUUGAGAGUAAAAGAUUCUCUCAAAUAAAAGUUGAGAGUAAAAGAAAGAAAAAGCAAAAGAGAGAGGAUAAGAAAUGUGUGCUAGAGAAAAAAUCCUUUCAUUUUUUUACUAUCCACUGCACCUGGACUUCCAUUAGCUGCGGUUUGGGACUAUCCAAAUUUUUAACAGUGUCUUUCUCCUCUCCUAUGUACAAUUUAGUGCUUCUGCUUACUUAUGUUAAGAUACAACUAUUUAGGAGUUUCUGCCAAGUAAAUAGAAGUGCGCUUUUC